GGGAGGAUUGAGAAGGUGUAGCAGCGUCACACUGUGCUGUUAUUACUGGUUAAUAACCUCCUACAUGAAAAUCAGGUCGACGCAGCAAACUGCUU
rnacentral:snoRNA from 1 species